AUGCGUCUCGGGGCCACGGCUUCAUACACACACCACACUUGUCUUAUCCCCCGUCUGCUUUUUCCCCGGUCCAAGAAGAGGCUAGCUCAACCCCAGACACACACACGCGCUCGCACACCCUCGCUCAAACACAGUGAAAUAGGGCGGUUCAGAGGACGGAAACAUUCUGUGAAGUAUACACAGCAUGGUUUCUGUGGAUGGCCUGCGUGUCUUCAGCAGCGGCAGAAUCCUCUGAGGAACUGGCCUGACUCAUCUGCAUCUGUGACAGUGGACUCCAUUGCUUCAGUAAGAUGGAUGGCGAGUGUGUAAAGGAGCUGACAUCACAACACUUACUGGGAGGCAGCGCAAGCAGCCCCCCGGUGACCUGCGAUUCAAGCCCCAGAUUAUGGUUGUUCAUUGUUUGUUUCUGCUCCUUGUUCGGGCUCGGCGACAGACCACUAUCCUAACAGCAUACACAAAUUAAACCUCGUAUCAGAUAGUAACUAAAUCUGAGAGUGAGACUUGAGUAGAAGUCUAGUAAAAUAAAGAUUGAUUUGUUCUUUACCCA
ensembl:lncRNA